GCCAUGCAUUCACUCAGCCCAAUGGGAAGUGGCCAGUGUCAUUCCUCUCCCCCACAGGGAAGACUCAGCAGCUGAGGAGGAUCCUGAGGGACCCGGAAGAAUCACCUCCUACUUCAGCCAGGGCCCGCAGGCCUGCCGCCCUCAGGUCUCCCACAAAUACUUCCAGGAGCGAGGCCUGGAGACAGCCACCAGCCUCUAGGAGCCAAUGUGUGUACCUCCCCUUCUAACUCACAAUAAAAGCUGUUCAAGAAGCGGA
rnacentral:lncRNA from 1 species